CAAAAGAGAAACCCUGAUUUCCGUGUCCAACGUUUGACCGUCCGUCUUAUUUAAAAAAAUUAUGAAAAAAAUUAAAAAGACAAGUCACACAUAAAAUAUUAAUCAUGUUUUAUCAUCUAACAACAAUGAAAAUACAAAUUAUAAAAAAAAAAUCAUAUAAGACGGACAAUUAAAGUUGGACACGGAAACCCAGGGUUUGCCUUUUU
rnacentral:pre_miRNA from 1 species